GCAAACUUGGUCAUUUAGAGGAAGUAAAAGUCGUAACAAGGUUUCCGUAGGUGAACCUGCGGAAGGAUCAUUACUGAAUAAAUUUGAUAGGCUGUUGCUGGCCCUUUCUUAUUGGAAUGGGGCAUGUGCACGCUUGUCUUCUUUAUCUCUCCACCUGUGCACCCUGUGUAGAACCUAAGGAGGCCAUUAUCCUGAGGAAGUCGGGAUAGAUUUAAGGAUUGGCGGGCAAAGCUUUGCCCCUCUCCUUUCAUGUUUUAGGUUCUAUGUCAUUCAUGUAUACACACCUCUGAAUGGUAAUGGAAUGUUGGUAGUACCUGUAAAGUUAUGUACAACUUUCAGCAAUGGAUCUCUUGGCUCUCGCAUCGAUGAAGAACGCAGC
rnacentral:misc_RNA from 1 species